CAGGGGGGCGAUGAGUAUGAAAGUUGGAGUGAAUACCGAGAGUUUUAUAGCACCCGUGAAAUUGAUAGAGAUUAUCUGCUGUACUGGGAAACGAUUGUGAAGGAUCUUAAGUGGAUUGAAGAACAUGUGCUUAAAGCCUUUUCUGAGUGGCAUGAAUUGCAUGAAAAAGCUUCAUGCCGAGCAGUUAGGAUUGCUGCUAGGUUCACAAACAUCCAUCCGAGGCUAGCAUA